AGUGAACGCUGGCGGCAGGCCUAACACAUGCAAGUCGAGCGGCAGCGCGGGGGCAACCCUGGCGGCGAGCGGCGGACGGGUGAGGAAUGCAUCGGAAUCUACCUCGUUGUGGGGGGAUAACCUCGGGAAACCGGGACUAAUACCGCAUACGACCUACGGGUGAAAGUGGGGGACCUUCGGGCCUCACGCGAUGAGAUGAGCCGAUGCCGGAUUAGCUAGUUGGCGGGGUAAAGGCCCACCAAGGCGACGAUCCGUAGCUGGUCUGAGAGGAUGAUCAGCCACACUGGAACUGAGACACGGUCCAGACUCCUACGGGAGGCAGCAGUGGGGAAUAUUGGACAAUGGGCGCAAGUCCUGAUCCAGCCAUGCCGCGUGUGUGAAGAAGGCCUCGGUU
rnacentral:rRNA from 1 species